GGGAUGUCGGUCUCACAGAUUCUGGUGCCGAGGAUCUCGUCUCCGCUCUCAGUACAAACCCAUCACUUACGGAUCUGAACCUGAGUGGUAAUAAACUGGGGGAUUCAGGAGUGAAACUGGUGUCUGCGGCUCUGAGGAACCCGGAGUGUAAAAUACAGAGACUGGGGCUGAGGGAUGUCGGUCUCACAGAUUCUGGUGCCGAGGAUCUCGUCUCCGCUCUCAGUACAAACCCAUCACUUACGGAUCUGAACCUGAGUGGUAAUAAACUGGGGGAUUCAGGAGUGAAACUGGUGUCUGCGGCUCUGAGGAACCCGGAGUGUAAAAUACAGAGACUGGGGCUGGGGUAUGUCGGUCUCACAGAUUCUGGUGCCGAGGAUCUCGUCUCCGCUCUCAGUACAAACCCAUCACUUACGGAUCUGAGACUGG